UCAGAAUUGGGAUGCCCAACCCACAUGACAUAUAUUCUAUCCAUUUUUCAGGUGCAUUCAUUAACAUACAAUGGUAACUCCAAACCACUCCCAAUUCUACUAAGCAAGUUCAUGCUCUAACAAUUAGCAGAAGAUUUGGGAAUUUCUCCUAAAUUGGAACUGAGCUGCUAAGGGUGCUCUGGGGCUCGUGCUUCUUAACCUAUGACGUCAAGUAAAAUACCAUAGCGCAAAUGCAUCAGUACGUUGAAAUAUACUGAGUAUGCAAAUGAGAAGUUGAAGACGGAGAUUUAUCAACCAUCAGCGCCGCAGGAGGAACUUGUUGCUUAAUGAUAGAUUCUGCCACUUGCAGCUCAUUCAAUAGUUUUACAAGAGAUAAUUCCAUCUUAUUCAUGUUAUAAUUCAAGCAAAACUGCUAAAAAUUGUUUGACAGAGUCUGCAGAACCAUCUCAACCUGAGAUUCCUUAUCAAUAACCGCACCAAGAAUUUCCAGCUCGUUCAAUAGACUUAUUAUUUUAAAAAUAUAUUCCC